rnacentral:lncRNA from 1 species
CUUUACUGUCAAUUCUUUUUAAGCCCUUUAAGUUCCUGUUUCAUAGAUUAAUAUUCCCUCUGUUUCAGUUUAUGUGUCUUACUUUGCAUUUUAGUUUGUUUAGAAAAGAAUGCCACUUACUAUAAUUAGUAACUCUUUAAUUCCAAUAUGGACUACGACAUGUUUAAGAUCACAAGUUUCAAAGGGCAUAAAAAGAAUGCGCUUCCUAUAAUUAGUAACUCUUUAAUUCCAGCAUGGACUAUGACAUGUUUAAGAUCACAAGUUUCAAUAGGCAUUUUGGUGCACUGUACACAUCUUUAGUUUAAGACCACAAUAUUCAAAAAUCUCUUACUAACACAUAAAAUGAAACGGAGAGAGUAGUUAUGAUGUUGCAUUUUGAUUAUUGGGAGGAUAAGUGGUGUGGAUGUAGAACUGUCUAUUGUGGUUCAUAAAACGAAUACAAAAAUCUAUCUUAUGAGAAUUUGUAUUGUUGAUGUCUUAGAACUAGUGCGAUAAGUCCUGAUUGUUUGAUUGGAUUCAUUUUUGAAAGCUUUUGAACCUUGAAUGGCUUUGCUGCGCAAGUUGAAGUUAAGUGAUCAGCUGCCAAGCUGGACUUGUUGGAAGUUUGUGGAAUAUCAGAGUGUUCUGAUACCUCUUGUUGGGUCGAGAGAUACCCACAGGAAAAAUAACCAAAGUUAGUUAAUGAGAAUAAACAAAUGAAUGAAACCAAGAUUUUACGUGGAAAAUCCUUCUCAAAUUAUGCACUUGUUACACUAGUCAUUGAUAUGCAAGUCUCAAGUAUCACAAAGUUGUCGAGAGAUUUUACCACCCAAAAGAGGAAGCUUUCCUCGUGUACCUACAAGCUUCCUUUCACCUAGCUCUUAUGCAGAACUUUCUCUUGUUGCAGUACUCAAAAUUUUCCGCUAAGAAGCCUACUCUUGGCAUUUUCUCUGCGAACUCUAUAGCACAUCCGAACACGUCUCCCAUUAGUUGCACCACUGUAUAGAGCUCACUCAAUGAGAAGAUAUAUCAAGUCUUCAUAGAGGGAUCUCAUCGUCUUAUAUCCAUCGUAACCUCACAAAUUAUUAGGCAUAUAGGGAUUUUAUCUUUCCUGUCCACCUCAGUGUUGUCAAAGGCUUGCUAGAAUCGCGCUUAAGCUCUGAAACUAAGUGUAAAACAGGCUGAGCCCUUCGCGUAGCCGGCACUUUAGUGCAACUAAAAGGCGCUAAGGCGCACCGCACAUGCCUCAUUAAUGGGCCUUGUUAUGAAGAGGAGACACUAACUAAUGAAUAUUCCACUUUGUAGUUUUUUCAAAUUCCUUUGUUUUAUUUAUGCGUAUAAUUGUUUUUCUUGAGUUACAUAUU